CACACUCACUCAUCCCAGACGGCAGCUAGCAGCUAAGAGGUAUGUCAAUUGUCAACAUUUGAUGCUAAAGCUGUCUGAGCAUUCUGAGCAUGGCCUUUUCAACAUUCGCGACCACGGUCUGUUUCACUCACCAAUGACUUUGGCCUCCUCAUCUGUCAGCGUUUUGCUCAGGGCCGGAUAACGAUGACAGUGCUGGGUUUGUGCGUCUUUCUGCGUGACUGGGAGCAUCUGACAUGCCGCCACCACUGACGGAGGAGACAGAGAACGCGGCAAGUGCGACACAUAACAGGGAACAUCUGGGAGAGCAGUGGGAAGCAGAAGACACUAAAGUGGUCAGCAAGCAGAGGGGAUUUAUUGCACACAAGGGAUCUG